UCAGUAGCUUAAUUGGCAAAGCCCCUGUCUAGCAUACAAGAGUCGUGGGUUCGAAUCCCUCCUGA
rnacentral:tRNA from 1 species